UACUAAGAAGCUAAAUCAGGACCCAGCAUUAGCCUUUUAAGCUAAAAAUUGGGGGCCCCCAACCCCCCUUAGUAA
rnacentral:tRNA from 1 species